UAAGGUGGUUAUAGCGAUGGGGCUCACCUCUUACCAUUCCGAACAGAGAAGUUAAGCCCAUUUGCGCAGAUGGUACUGCUUUAUUGUGGGAGAGUAUGUCGCCGCCUUCUUUUAAGUCCUUACUAAGUAAUUAGUAAGGACUUUUUUUAUACCCUUUUUUUAAAUUUUAUAUUCAAUUUUGGUUAAUGUGCUAGAUGUUCAUUAGCCUUUUCUUGUGAUAUUUACUAUUAUAAACUUUAGCAGUGCUCAUUAGAUGGCUUUUGUAUAUAAGGU
rnacentral:rRNA from 1 species